ACACGUAGGCUCCCAACACCCAGAAGCGUAUCUGGAAAAUAACAAACUCAAAAAAAAACAAUUCUGUUUCACGUGGGCCUUAAAGUCAGUGUGGCUGGUUUCGCUGGGCAAACAUCUCUGAGGCCAGUGAUGACUCAGUGGCCUCUCCCUGGUCCCAAGCCCCCAGGACGGGCCUUUCCUAAAGAUUCAGGAUCCACUCAGAAUGACCGGCACACGUCAGCGAGCAGCUGCUGAGGCCUGGGAAUGGGUGUUUGUGAGGUCACGACUCAGUGAUCUGACCCAGCCUUAGAGAGCCAGGAUGAAGUCAGGGAAGUGGGUCUCCUUCUUUCUUUCCAAUCAAGGUCCCAGGGAAGGGCAUGAGCUCUGGAUAGGAGACCUUGGACAAGGUGCUGGACAGGAUGAUCACUUCAUUCCUGAGUUGGUACCUUCUACCCCGAGAAGAUCAGGUUUCAGUAGAAAACGUAAGAGAAGGAGAACUGAAGCACUAAUGUUUUUAUGGUCAGACUACGUCACUGCAGGUCCCACAGCGUCAGGAGCUGACAGAGUGCACAGCUCAAGCCUCUCCGUCUCCGUGUCUUCCACCUGUGAGCGGAAAUCCAGCAGCCCCGCGGGGACAGGGAGGAAUAACCUGCUGGUGCUUUUCACUGAUGCAGUUCAGUUUCUGGAAUGGAACUCACACACUUUUGUAGCAGAAAGGCCCAGAAGCGCCUCCCUUUAGAGUGCACACGUGUGUGUGCCUUCCUGUUGGAGAGUGAGUGCUUUGGGCUCGUACACACACACACUUGCCCCUCUGCAGAGCUCCACUGUGCCCAACAGAGGCCCAGGGCUGUACAUGCUGCCAUUUUGGACAUUGUCCUCCUCACGCCAAUGGAACCAGAGAGGAACGAAUAUCUCUGCAUCACACAUGAGGAAACUGGGAUCUCUCCAGAGGUUUAGGACAGCUCAGGCUGCGUCUGCUCACCUCUCCAUGCCCCUCGUCCUUGAGAGCAUGAAUCUCAUCUUCAGAGUGUGUUUCUACAGCCCAGCACCGAGAGGGAGGAGGGAGUUCAGCUAUGUUUUGCUGGGUCUGAAUCUGUAUUUGUGAGCAGUCCUUUCAAUGCCCCAUGCAUGCAUCCA